UCGCUCAUCAUUUUUGUGGAUGAGCAAUUUUGUUAUACGAAUCAAUUGCAUAGUCACAAAAGUGAUGGACGC
rfam:Anisakis simplex genome assembly, scaffold: ASIM_scaffold0001188